CGGAGAUCCAACUCGUAAACUAGAACUAGGGGAGCUUGAAGUUUGGACUUUGACAUUCAGGUCUGGCGGAUGCGGAAGAGAUACCCUAUACUGCCCUGCAGAUACAGAAGCAGGUUGAGAAUCUCCAGAAAGCCUCAAAUUCUGCUCUAAAUUCCCAGAAUGCAAUGUAGUCCAGCUUUCUCGUAAACUGUUCUCCAGAGAGGAGACACGAUUUGAAGGUGACUGAUGAGAGGAUGAAACAUCUCUUUUAGGAAUAGUUCCAACCAUUUGACCACCAGGCCUUGAGGCGGCCUCUUGUACGUUCGGUUCGCCCUUAGACAUGGACAGCCUUUUUACCUCCAUUUGCGCAGACAAAUCAUACCCUAUCAUACCAUUGAACCCAUUUCUUGGGUUUGCAGAAGGUUUCUGCUUAGCCUGGGAGUUAGAUGGAGGAAUUGCACACGAAAAAUCACCACUAGCCUCUGCUACAUCGUCAUUUUGGCUGUUCAAUGUCUUACCAGCUUCAACAUUUCCAUCAGUAGGCCUGCAUAUGACAGCAGAACCUACACCCCGGAUAGAUGGUAUAACGGUUCUAGAAGAAUGGUGAUCAGCUGCCAAGCAAUCUGAUGAUUUGUUCUGAGAUGAAAAAGUUGACGAUAAUGUUGAUCCUCCACCUUCUCCUACCCAUCCAGGACCAAACUUUACUUCAGCAGGUAAAACAGUUUCUAACUUCUUAGAAGCUACUUUCCAGACAACUGGCCCAAGAUCUGCAGCAAAUCUGGCAAGGCUUCUAGCGUAUGCAUGCUGCUCAAUGUGAACACCAACUGCCAUUAACCGCUUUAG
rnacentral:misc_RNA from 1 species